rnacentral:rRNA from 1 species
GACGAACGCUGGCGGCGUGCUUAACACAUGCAAGUCGAACGGAAAGGCCCUGAUUUUGUGGGGUUCUCGAGUGGCGAGCGGGUGAGUAACACGUGUGUAUCCUGCCCCUGACUUUGGGAUAACUUCUGGAGACUGGGGCUAAUACCGGAUAGGAGCUCCUGCUGCAUGGUGGGGGUUGGAAAGUUUCGGCGGUUGGGGAUGGUAUCGCGGGUUAUGAGCUUGAUGGUGGGGUAGUGGCUUACCAAGGCUUUGACUGAUAGCCGACCUGAGAGGGUGACCGGCCACCUUGCGACUGAGAGACGGCCCAGACUCGUACGUGAGGCAGUAGGGGGAAAUAUUACACAAUGGGCGGAAGCGUGAUGCAGCAACGCCGCGUGCGGGAAGACCGCCUUCGAGUGAUAAACCGCUUUCGCCUGAGACGAAGCGUUAGUGACGGUAAUGGGUAAAGAAGCACCGGCUAACUACGUG